rnacentral:lncRNA from 1 species
AAACAUUUAACACAAGGCCGGGAAUGAUGGAGCACAUUUGCUAAGAAGAAGCAUCGCUGUCCUUGGGAAUCGGAGACCAGUAAGUGCCACGUGGAGGAGUAGGGCAACGGCCCUGACCCCCUGCUUCCUGUCUGCCAGGUCACUGGCCUUCAGGGGUGGCAGAUGCCAGCUGUCUUGGCAGCCACUGAUCCCGGCAGGUCUCCAAGAGCAGCUCACACCCCGCAGAGCGAAUCUGCAAAGAAGGCUCCUGUGAGUCACAGCUGACCGCUC